rnacentral:rRNA from 1 species
GACGAACGCUGGUGGCGUGCUUAACACAUGCAAGUCGAACGGGAUUUAGUAAACAGAAGCCUCGGUGGAAGAUUACUAAUGAGAGUGGCGAACGGGUGAGUAACGCGUGAGCAACCUGCCUAUGACAGUGGGAUAGCCUCGGGAAACCGGGAUUAAUACCGCAUAAAAUCGUAGAAACACAUGUUUUAACGGUCAAAGAUUUAUCGGUCAUAGAUGGGCUCGCGUCUGAUUAGCUAGUUGGUGAGAUAACAGCCCACCAAGGCGACGAUCAGUAGCCGGUCUGAGAGGAUGAACGGCCACAUUGGAACUGAGACACGGUCCAAACUCCUACGGGGGGCAGCAGUGGGGAAUAUUGCACAAUGGGGGAAACCCUGAUGCAGCGACGCCGCGUGAACGAAGAAGGUAUUCGUAUCGUAAAGUUCUGUCCUAUGGGAAGAUAAUGACAGUACCAUAGAAGAAAGCUCCGGCUAAAUACGUG